rnacentral:lncRNA from 1 species
CUUUCUCUCUUUCUUUCUCUCUUUCUCUCUUUCUUUCUUUUGGCUGCCCCAUGGCACAUGGAAUUCCCAGGUCAGGGAUCAUAUCCCAGCUACAGCUGUGGCAAUGCUGGAUCCUUUAACCCACUGUGAUGGGAUGGGGAUUGAACCUGCAUCCCAGUGCUCCAGGGACACAGCUGAUCCUGGUGUACCACAGCAGGAGCUCGAAACAUGUUUACAUUCUUUAGAUGAACUGCCCUAGACUUGAGAAGGGUCAUGCAUUGUCCUUACAAAGGGGGACGCCAGGAUCCUCCUGCUGUGCCAGUCCCUGAAGAGGGUGCUUUUAAUGACAGUACUCUAAGUAAGCUACAAGUCCACAGAGUCCUGCGACUUCUGGAGGGCAGAUGGUGGUUGUGGUGUCGGCAAGUAAUUUACUUUGGAAAAAAAAAAACUACACAUAAAUUUUAAUCCUCAUCCCAGACACAGUAUCAGACAUCCUAAUCCUAAUCACAAAUACACACUCCAGGAGUGGGUAGGAAGCAGAUAAUCAAAUGCCCACACUCCAGCUGUCUUUCUCUCCAUCCACAACAGAGAAUUUGUUAAUUUGCCCAAAGGGGGUUAUAAAAGUGAUUUUAUUGAUGACAUUUGUUUUGGAAGAUGGGUUGGCUAAAAUUUAGUGAGCCUUUCACCUCUCACCUCUUAGAAUGGCACCUAAGGUUUGAACUGAAUGGUCCUACAUCCACCUUUUGACUCAGAAGGUUCUGGUUGCCUGAUGCCAAUCAGGAUAUUACUUCCAGGCUAUGGUUGUGAUUUUGUCUUGACAUUAAUAUAUAAUGCCAGCUAUGAGGAGAUUUCAGGAGGUUAAUGAACAUGGUGUAGGCCUGUUUGGGGCUUUAUUUUUAAUACAUGUUUAGUACAUGUUUGAAUUUGGUCUGUGACGUAUUUCCAUUUAAUCGAGUUACCUUUCCUAAGUGUAUGGGCUAGGGGUGGGGAGAGCUAUAGCCCUCACUUAUUUCGACGAGUGGUGGUUACUGAUAUUUACCAAAAAGAACUUACUGGUUAGUAUGAUAACACUGACCAAAGUCUGUUUUUAAUAGCAUCAUUUGUCCCCUUUCCUGGAUUUAAAAGUGAAAAAUGAGUCCAGUGGCCUCUGGCCUUGAAUGGCCCCCUGUGCUGAGAGAAGUCUGUAUUCAUCAUCUGAAAGCAGCGUCAGCAGCACAGUCAGAAAAGAGCAAUGUCACAGGUGUGCUCAGGGCCGGGGUUGCAUUAACCAGAGGUGAUUAUAACAGGGGGCAUUUGAGAGUCAACACAGAGCAAGCCCUGUGGUAGGUGUGAGCCCUAGCUUACCUCAUUUAGGCCUGGUAACAUCUCAGUGAGACACACAUAUGAAGAGAUUAUAAAAAUAUAUAUAAAAAUUAUAUAUAUAAAAAAAGACAGGAAGUUCCCUUUGUGGCUAAGCAGUUAAUGAACCCAACUAGGAUCCAUGAGGUUGCAGGUUUGAUGCCUGGCCUCACUCAGUGGGUUAAGGAUCCUGCAUUGCUGUGACUGUGGUGCAGGCCAGCAGCUAGCCACCCUUCACAAGAUUCCUGCUAUAAGAGGAAACAAAGACAUAAUCUGGAGAGGUCAUAAAGCUAAAAAUGUGACCUCAAAGCCAAGCCAACAGGAGGACUUGAAAGAGUGUUGCCCCCAAAAUCAAUAAUUUCACAAGCAUAUAUUGUUCAGGAUUAAAAAUAUCAAAUGAAUUAAAAAUUGAAAACUAUUACAUUUGGUAACAAGUGGAGGCUUAUCGAUAACACCAAGGAUGAUUCUAUUAAGGAUUAAACAGCAUAGUUGUGAACUGAAAACCAAAAGAGGUACUCUUAGGAUUUUUCAGAGCUCCAGGUCUAAGUCUUGACAGAUUCAGUUUUGUUCCCACUUCCUCUUUCAAUUUCAUUUUUUGACCAUUGCAGGUGUGAAAAGAAGGUCAAGGGGCCCGAGAGGAGGUCAGAAUGAAGCUGAUAAAGUGAGAAUGGGCUGCCAGGUCAGGGACAUAGGAAUCAGGGCUGGGGGCGUAGAAGCAGAUGCAGAGCCCAGAGGCAAACUCAAGAGAAGCAAUGAUGAUAUAGGCAGACUAGACAAUGAAGCUUCUCCCCACUCCUGGAGAAGAGACUUUGCUGUUUCAUACAAAACCAUGGCCACUUUGGUUGGCCACCUAACAAAACCCUAACCCUAAUCAAGCCUUAACCCUAACCAAACCCUAACACUAACUUAAGCCUAACUGAAACCUAACCCUAACUGAACCCUAGCACUGACCUAACCCUAACCCUAAAUCUGUGCAAAUGGUGGUGAUGAAGUUUUGAAUGAGUGGAGUGCUUUUGUCUCCAAAUGUCCAUCAUUGCACAGAGGACACACUUCUGUGCCUCUGUUCCUAUGUUUUGUCAGACAGCCAAUCAGAAUGGAGGAGGGGCCCACUGGGGUUUGGUUGCUCUCAAAGUGGAGACAUGUCCCAGAUGCCAGGCCUGCCUCUCCAGAUGUGCUUUGCCAAGGGUGUUAGGUUAAGGGACUAACAUCUUUUCUUGAGGUCAGGGAGUCUAUUAGUGGGGUGUCUGUAUCCUGUAUAGGAGAGCACAGUAUCUUUGAGGUUCCUUUUCUCUUCUCUCUCCACUUUCCAUCUUUCUACUACAAUGAAAUUAUUUCAGCAUCCUGCCAAUUGUGUCACCCCUUCUUAUUGCCAAAGUAUAAUUUUCAAAAAGUUAAAAGCAUGACUCUCAUUGCAAACAUAAAAUGAACACAGACCAACACUUUCAUUCAACUCAUUAAUUCAUGAUGAAACUAAUAAGAUGUUAAGACCAUCUCAAAGGAGAAUCUGACAGAAAAAUAGGUACAGAUACAGAUUAAUCAGGUAUGCUGGAAUGUAUUUGCUAAUAGAUGCAAAAUUGAUCAAUAUUCUAUAGGGGGUAUCUCUAUAGACCUAGGUUAAUUUGCAUUGCUUUGGACAAGAAUGGUUUGCAUUACUAUCCGUUUUCUACAAGUCACCUUUAAAAAUGUACAAUUCAUGGGACCUAAUCAAAUUUAUAAACUUUUGCACAGAAAAGGAAACCAUAAAUAAAAUGAAAAUACAACAUAUGGACUAGGAGGAAAUAUUUGCAAAUGACAUGACUGACAAGGGCUUAAUUUCUGAAAUAUACAAACAGCUCAUACAACUCAAUAACAACAACAACUCAAUCCAAUCAAAAAAUGAGCAGAAGACCUAAAUAAACAUUUCUCCACAGAAGACACACAUGUGGCCAAUAGGCACACAAAAAGAUGCUCAGUAUCACUAAUUAUUACAGAAAUGCAAACCAAAACUACACUGAGGUACCACCUCACAUCAGUUAUUAAAAAGUCUACAAAUAACAAAUCCUGGAGAGGGUGUGGAGAAAAGGAAACUCUCCUCCACUGUUGGCAGGAAUGCAAAUUGGUGUAGCCACUAUGGAAAACAGUAUGGAGGUUUCUCAAAAAACUAAAAAUAGAGUUGCCAUGUAAUCCAGCAAUCCCAUUCCUGGGCACAUAUCCCAGGAUACUCUAAUUCAAAAAGAUACAUGACCCCAAUGUUCACAGCAGCACUGUUUAUAGCAACCAAGACAUGGAAACAAACUAAAUGGCCAUCGAGAGAUGAAUGGAUAAAGAUGUGGUAUACACACACACACACACACACACACACACACACACACACACACACACACACUGGAAUACUACUCAGCCAUAAAAAAGAAUGAAAUAAUGCCACUGGCAGCAACAUGGAUGAACCUAGAGAUUAUCAUACUAAGUGACGCAAGUCAGAAAGAGAAAGACACAUACCAUUUGAUAUCACUUAUAUGCUGGAUCUAAUAAAGUGACAUAAACUAACUCAGGUACAAAACAGAAACAGACUCACCAAUACAGACAACAGAAUUGUGGUUGCCAAGGGGGAGGGGAGUGGGGAGGGAAGGACUGGGAAUGUGGGGUUAGCCAAUGCAAACUAUUACAUACAGAAUGGAUAAACUACAGGGUCCUACUGGGUAGCACAGAGAACCAUAUUCAAUAGCCAGUAAUAAACCAUAAUGGAAAGGAAUAUGAAAAAGAAUAUAUAUAUAU